rnacentral:rRNA from 1 species
CUUGGUCAUUUAGAGGAAGUAAAAGUCGUAACAAGGUUUCCCGUAGGUAACCCUGCGGAAGGAUCAUU